rnacentral:rRNA from 1 species
GACGAACGCUGGCGGCGUGCCUAAUACAUGCAAGUUGAGCGCUGAAGGUUGGUACUUGUACCAACUGGAUGAGCAGCGAACGGGUGAGUAACGCGUGGGGAAUCUGCCUUUGAGCGGGGGACAACAUUUGGAAACGAAUGCUAAUACCGCAUAAAAACUUUAAACACAAGUUUUAAGUUUGAAAGAUGCAAUUGCAUCACUCAAAGAUGAUCCCGCGUUGUAUUAGCUAGUUGGUGAGGUAAAGGCUCACCAAGGCGAUGAUACAUAGCCGACCUGAGAGGGUGAUCGGCCACAUUGGGACUGAGACACGGCCCAAACUCCUACGGGAGGCAGCAGUAGGGAAUCUUCGGCAAUGGACGAAAGUCUGACCGAGCAACGCCGCGUGAGUGAAGAAGGGUUUCGGAUCGUAAAACUCUGUUGGUGGAGAAGAACGUUGGUGAGAGUGGAAAGCUCAUCAAGUGACGGUAACUACCCAGAAAGGGACGGCUAACUACGUG